rnacentral:lncRNA from 1 species
AGCGCUCCCGGCGGGGCGCCCCGCUCUGCGCCGUUCCCUCCGCCGUCGCCCAGCCACCGCCUUUCGCACGCGCCGGAACCGCUUUUGUGGUCUCCGAGACACUCAUUUGCUGUCCUGGUUUCCAAAGCUCCACGUGCUCAGCGCCGAAAACUUGCAAAUCAUUUGCUGUACAGAUGUUUAGGGGUCGCCUACUACGUCUAUACUGGGCGCCCGCUGCGUGCCAGGUACUGCCACCGGCUCUCUCCUCACGGUGGAAUAACUUAACAGAGAAGACAGACAUCAAUCAAAUACCCUGGAAACGUGGAAGGCAGGGGAAAGAACAAAGGGAGAGCAAAAUCGCCCCAAUCCCACAUCACCCGCGACGUGAAAGGAUUUGUCCUUCCAGCUGCGGGACUCCUAUUUGUUUAUUUCAAGUCAGAGGCCUUCCCUUUAUGCCCACAUCUGUUCCCGACCCUCUCCUCUGAUUUUCCUCACAUGUAUUUCCUCCCCUCUUCAGCCCCGCGCCAGCUCCAGGCACAGCCGUUCAGGGUGAUGCCAAAGGGAAAUGAGAACGCCUGGUUUCGAGUGCCAGCCUGAGGCCCCUUAAGCCCUAGCCUGGCUCCAAAAACUGCAGCCUGUUUCCCUCAACAAAAAUGACGUCAAGAAUACCUAGAUGUGACCACACCGAACUUGCUUGCCCGUUUUGGGAAACCCAACUUUCUUCCUGAAUAGUCAGAACCUCUGGCUUUCCUGGUCUCUUAAGAACCGCAAACUAUUGAAAAGCAGAUGCGUCUUUCAGCCUCUUUAAUAAAUGCAGUAAGGAGA